AUUGAACGCUGGCGGCAUGCCUUACACAUGCAAGUCGAACGGUAACAGGUCUUCGGAUGCUGACGAGUGGCGAACGGGUGAGUAAUACAUCGGAACGUGCCUAGUAGUGGGGGAUAACUACUCGAAAGAGUGGCUAAUACCGCAUGAGAUCUACGGAUGAAAGCAGGGGAUCGCAAGACCUUGUGCUACUAGAGCGGCCGAUGGCAGAUUAGGUAGGUGGUGGGAUAAAAGCUUACCAAGCCGACGAUCUGUAGCUGGUCUGAGAGGACGAUCGGGCAAACAGGGACUGGGACACGGCCAAGACUCCUACGGGGGGCGGAGGUGGGGAAUUUUGGACAAUGGGCGCAAGCCUGAUCCAGCAAUGCCGCGUGCAUGAUGAAGGCCUUCGGGUUGUAAACUGCUUUUGUACGGAACGAAAAGCCCUGGGUUAAUACCCUGGGGUCAUGACGGUACCGUAAGGAUAAGCACCGGCUAACUACGUGCCAGCCGCCGCGGUAAAAC
rnacentral:rRNA from 1 species